AUGUGGGUGGCUGAGAAGGGCACUAGGGUGGGGGUGGCUGGAGGAAUUUUAAGUGCUGUGAUGAAAUGGGCACCCUUCUCUGCCCUCCAUCGCCAAGCCCUACACCUCUGCGAAGACUGUGACACAUAAAGUCCUGUGUCAACGGUUGGCGGGGUUUCACCAUGUUGGCCAGGCUGGUCUAGAACUCCUGAUCUCAAGAGAUCCACCCACCUCGGCCUCCCAAAGUGCUGGGAUUACCUGCAUGAGCCACUGCACCUGGCUUCAGCCCUUUGUUUUAUCCAAGAGAAGGUCAAGAGCAGAUAAAUUGGAUCUGUGCCCGCAGAGAGAGCCUGCUCCAGCCUCUUUGCUACAGCCUUGAGUCUUCUGCUGAAGCUGGAAGCCAUGGAAACUUUUCAGCAGGGGAAUGACAAUAACAAGACAGACUUGGAGACAGAAAGCCUGGAUUUGGGGGCAUUGUAAUUGAGCGCCAAU
rnacentral:lncRNA from 1 species